UACGUAGGGUGCAAGCGUUAAUCGGAAUUACUGGGCGUAAAGCGUGCGCAGGCGGUUCUAUAAGACAGAUGUGAAAUCCCCGGGCUCAACCUGGGAACUGCAUUUGUGACUGUAGAGCUGGAGUACGGCAGAGGGGGAUGGAAUUCCGCGUGUAGCAGUGAAAUGCGUAGAGAUGCGGAGGAACACCGAUGGCGAAGGCAGCCCCCUGGGCUAACACUGACGCUCAGGCACGAAAGCGUGGGGAGCAAACAGG
rnacentral:rRNA from 1 species